rnacentral:rRNA from 1 species
GAAUAUUGGACAAUGGGCGCAAGCCUGAUCCAGCAAUGCCGCGUGUGUGAAGAAGGCCUGCGGGUUGUAAAGCACUUUCAGUGGGGAGGAAGGCCUCAAUGCUAAUAGUAUUGAGGAUUGACGUUACCCACAGAAGAAGCACCGGCUAACUCUGUGCCAGCAGCCGCGGUAAUACAGAGGGUGCAAGCGUUAAUCGGAAUUACUGGGCGUAAAGGGUGCGUAGGUGGUUUUUUAAGUCAGAUGUGAAAUCCCUGGGCUCAACCUAGGAAUUGCAUUUGAUACUGAAUAACUUGAGUAUGGUAGAGGGAAGUGGAAUUUCCAGUGUAGCGGUGAAAUGCGUAGAUAUUGGAAGGAACAUCAGUGGCGAAGGCGACUUCCUGGACCAUUACUGACACUGAGGCACGAAAGCGUGGGGAGCGAACAGGAUUAGAUACCCUGGUAGUCCACGCCGUAAACGACUGAGAACUAGAUGUUAGGGGCUUAGACCUCUUAGUAUCGCAGCAAACGCGUUAAGUUCU